AUCUUGUUCAAUUUACUUUAGUUUCACCUGUUGUAUACUGGUCUGACUACCACCUUUAAGAAAUAUAUAUAUAAGGUGUCCGAGUCACGACCAGUCAACGGGUUGUGCAUGCACAGGAGUGGGGACGGGGACUGGGACUUCUGCCCCCAGCGGAGGCACACCCAGGCCUGCCCAGCGCUAACAUCCCGCCCAGCGCUGAGGUCAAGCUGCCUGCCUGCAUUCCUGGCCAGGCAGAUGAGAUAUUGUUUCCUGAGCCCAUGAGUUUGAAGGCAGAUAAUAAACAAAAGGAAUCCAUCAGGUAUAGGUAAAUCUUAACA